rnacentral:rRNA from 1 species
AUACGGAGGGUGCAAGCGUUGAUCGGAAUUACUGGGCGUAAAGGGUACGUAGGCGGUUAUUUAAGUUGGAUGUGAAAGCCCUGGGCUCAACCUAGGAACUGCAUCCAAAACUGAAUAACUAGAGUGUACAAGAGGUUAGCGGAAUUCCAGGUGUAGCAGUGAAAUGCGUAGAUAUCUGGAGGAACAUCAGUGGCGAAGGCGGCUAACUGGUAUAACACUGACGCUGAGGUACGAAAGCGUGGGGAGCAAACGGGAUUAGAAACCCUGUAGUCC